UGUGCUUGAGGUGACUUGAGUUUGUUUGGCCCCCUCUUGCUUGUUUGUUUGGCUUUCCUUCGCCUCUCUUGCGGCAGUUUGGUGGCUGAGGUUGUUGUGUGCCCCUGUCUGCGUGUAAGUGUGUGUGUGUGUGUGUGUGUGUGUGUGUGUGUGUGUCACCGCUUCGUCCCGCCUCUCAAGUCACGUGAGGGUCGUUGUCGUCUCUGCCCUUUGGUUGAUGUUCAACAGUGUUCUAGUACGCGCCCUGCCGUGCCCCCUCCCCACUCUACUCCGCGACUCUUGCUCGACCACAUACUAUCCUAGUGGACACCGUGGCUUGGCUGUGUACGUCAACAAUACAGAGAGUCGAAUAGGCACACUCACAUACAAGAAGAGUAGACAGGCACGCCCACACACACGCCCGCACGCCGAUAGAUAGGCAACGACUAGCUGCAGACUCAACUGCAAAGAGAGCAUGAGCAUGCGAUUCAUUUCGAUCCUGUCACGCGGCGGGUUCAGCAGCGGUGGACCAGCCGCCGCCGCUAUGGCGGUCGCUGCAGGCGCGCCGGCAUCAGCAACGAUAGGCUACUCAGCUUGUGCGAUGCGCUGGCAGUCCUCGCGGCCCUACAGCCGCUCCUCUGGUGGUGGUAGAGGAAGCGGCACUAGCUCUGAGCCGCUCGCGGGUUCUCGCGGCACCGGCAGCUUCGGCAGCCCGCGAGCGUCGCCCGGCCCUGUCCCAGCCGCGGUGAUGAACAGCACGGGCGACGGCGAGCUGAGCGCUGAAACCCGCGCCGCCCUCCGUGACGACUCCAUUGUGAUGACAGAGGUGGUAAAGCACAUACCGCCCAAGGGAGCUAUCUCCAUCAAGUCCCUCUUCUCUGCCAUCGACGAGAACAUACAAGAGGCGCUCAGCGAGCGGCACGGUGGGCUGCGAAGCUUCCUCGAACAGCGCAAGCAGUUCUUUGUUCUACACACCAACCCCGAGGACGGCGUCCUCUACGUGAUUGGCAACCCCAUCGUCAUGCAGCAGUAUGCCACACGCGAUGCGCAGCGCAAAACAAUGCGACGGAUGAUGGGGCUCGACGACGCCGACCGCCAGCAGCAGCAGCGUCGUCCGGGAGGCGGCUUUGGGAGCAACCGCGGACGUGGUGGCCGUGGUGGUGGCGUUCGCCGGCAUCAGAGCUCCCCAUCGCCCUCAGGGCCUUCACGGUCUCCGCCGCAGCAGUACCGCAACGAAGGUGGCAACGGAUACUAUGGAGGAGGAGAUGGGCGCCGCGGUCCCCCACCGCAGCGCGCUGAUCGCCGCGGAUACGGCAGCAACAACGGAAGUCACGGAGGCGGUGAUGGUGCACCCCGUCGAGGCGGCCCGAUGGGUAGUCGCAAUCAGUCCUUCGGCACUCGUUAGAUGAAGCAUCCCUUGUUUAGUCCUACAUUCACCUGUGCGCGCGCGUCUCGGUGGGUGGGGUGAGCGGGUGCUUCUGUUGGUGGUUCACCUUCUGCGAGCCGCUCGAGCCACCCUACUUCGCCUCUUGUGUUUUCUUUGCUUUUUCGUUGUCUUACCUUAUGCUUCGAAGCGCGUGCUCCUUCAUCACCUCGACAGCUGCUUCCCUCCACCAGCCUCCUCCCCCACCCCUUCUCCCUCAACAUCGCAAUACACAUGCACACGAGCACGCACACACGCACACAUACACACUCCCGUCUUCGCACACCUCCGGCGGUGCAGUUGCCGAGCUCUAUGAUGGUGGGCUUGCUUCCGUGUUGAUCACUUUGUGUGUGUGUGUGUGUGCGUCUGUGGGAGUGUACGUUUUUUUUUCUGCAUACGUUAUCGGUCCAUCUCAAUAUGCGGUUGCAGCCGUGCCUGCCUCCUUCAUAUGAUUACCUGUGGUGUGUGCGUGAGACGGUGAGUCUGUCUCUGUCUCUCUCUCUCUCUGCGCCUGUGUAUGUGGCGUGUGUGUGUGUGUGUCCGUGUGCCUCGACACCCUUUGUGGCGUCCCCACGCCUGCCGUCUAGAUAAGAACG
rnacentral:misc_RNA from 1 species